rnacentral:rRNA from 1 species
GACGAACGCUGGCGGCGUGCCUAAUACAUGCAAGUUGAGCGAUGAAGAUUGGUGCUUGCACCAAUUUGAAGAGCAGCGAACGGGUGAGUAACGCGUGGGGAAUCUGCCUUUGAGCGGGGGACAACAUUUGGAAACGAAUGCUAAUACCGCAUAAUAACUUUAAACAUAAGUUUUAAGUUUGAAAGAUGCAAUUGCAUCACUCAAAGAUGAUCCCGCGUUGUAUUAGUUAGUUGGUGAGGUAAAGGCUCACCAAGGCGAUGAUACAUAGCCGACCUGAGAGGGUGAUCGGCCACAUUGGGACUGAGACACGGCCCAAACUCCUACGGGAGGCAGCAGUAGGGAAUCUUCGGCAAUGGACGAAAGUCUGACCGAGCAACGCCGCGUGAGUGAAGAAGGUUUUCGGAUCGUAAAACUCUGUUGGUAGAGAAGAACGUUGGUGAGAGUGGAAAGCUCAUCAAGUGACGGUAACUACCCAGAAAGGGACGGCUAACUACGUG